rnacentral:SRP_RNA from 1 species
CUAAAAUUACUAAUUUUAAGUAUAUUUAUAUAGCGGCUUUGCGAGAGGUGUAUGUAGCAGUCCUUCUUGUUUAGCAGCGGGUCUUAUGCAAUGGGAAUCUGCGAACCGUGUCAGGUCGGGAACGAAGCAGCACUAAACAGAACCUCUCAUGUGUUGUAAGGGUGCCUGUUGCUUGCGGGGGACGUGCAUGCAUCUCUCCCAGAGCCGCUUUUUGG